AUUAGGCCUGGCUCCACUAUUUCCCUUUAUCUUCCCAUCCUACUCUGUUGCUUUCUUCAUCAAGAUGCUGAAGUUUUGGUCCAUGUCUUCACAUAUCUGUACCAUGGACUGGCUAGUCCGGGGCCCUGUGUGCAGCUCUGCCUAUGCUGGAAGUGACAUGUAACCAUUCUUCAGCAGAACCAACCUUAACUCACCGACGUGAUGCGGGACCGGCAGCAAAUGACCUCCACACUUAAGGCUUCAGUCUCAUCUGUGAAGUGAAGGGGCUGGGCUAUUUGGCCUCAAAUCCUGAGAUCCUGGGAUCCCUGACUGAUCCUCCAGGUGACUGAGUGCCUUGUGGUUUGGGGAUCACCAUUGCCAGAUGCCCUCACGGACCUAGGAUGGACGAGUUCAGGUCCAUGGCUGGAUCGGGGCAAAUGGGACACCAGAGCCAGGAGAAGGGUCAGGAAGACUCUUUAGAUCCUAAGUCAGAAGAAAAUGGGAAUGGCGCUUCACCAGGCUUCCUGGCUUUUCUCUUUCCAAGUGGCAGGAGGCCUGCCCCCCUGCUGGCAGACAGGGAGGGUCAGUGUGUGGCCACCGCUGCCCACUCCUUCUACAAUCUCUUCACUGAGCGCUCCGUGAUGGGCUCAACAUGGUGGGCAGAAGGCAGCAUGGGCCACAGCCCACCCAGAUACCUCUGGGCCUGCAUUUUGUUCUGUGAAGAAUGGAGGAGAAUUGUCUUUCUUUUUUAGGGUUCAGGAGGACAGAAUUGGACCACGUUUCCUGUACUCCCUUCUGUCACAGAACUCUCCUAUGCAUUUGUAACGGUUUGCACCUCUCCUUCCUUUACUGGAUGUGAGCCCUCCCAGGAGGGACUGUCUUACGCUCAAUGUUCCCUGUACCUGGUACAGCCCCUCCAUAAAUGUGCAUUUGGACCCUUGUUUUCCACCACAGGCAGUCAUGACUGCUAGUGAAGAUCAGGGCUGGCCACACGCCAGAAGUCAAGACUGGCUUGAUAUCUAAACUUCCAGUAGGAAAGGAUGAUAAGAAUAUCUAAGAGUGAGCGUAGGUCUGUUUGCUUUCCAGCAUGGCUGUGUGAACGAACAUCUGCUCCUGUAUCUCUUCUUGCCUAUUCUUUACUACCUUUUUGUAGUUAUUCUGUGUGUGUGUGAAUGGGCUGAUGGAGAGGGCUACGUGUAUAUGUCUAAAUAUUUGUUCAAAUGUACAUGCAUGAUCCAUUUGGUAUUCUCUUUGUGUUAUUUGCUUGUCUUUUCUGUAAGUCUCUGUAAGUGCCACACAGUAAUAAAAGCCUCCUGGGAUCAAUACUUCUUCUAUCCCCAAUGGGAGAUGUGGAAGUUCACUGACAAUUUCUGAAUGUUUCAUGUUUCA